AUACGGCGCUGCACGGUUGGA
rnacentral:miRNA from 1 species